rnacentral:rRNA from 1 species
UGGGGAAUUUUGGACAAUGGGCGCAAGCCUGAUCCAGCCAUGCCGCGUGCGGGAAGAAGGCCUUCGGGUUGUAAACCGCUUUUGUCAGGGAAGAAAUCUUCUGAGUUAAUACCUCGGGAGGAUGACGGUACCUGAAGAAUAAGCACCGGCUAACUACGUGCCAGCAGCCGCGGUAAUACGUAGGGUGCAAGCGUUAAUCGGAAUUACUGGGCGUAAAGCGUGCGCAGGCGGUUUUGUAAGACAGAGGUGAAAUCCCCGGGCUCAACCUGGGAACUGCCUUUGUGACUGCAAGGCUUGAGUGCGGCAGAGGGGGGAUGGAAUUCCGCGUGUAGCAGUGAAAUGCGUAGAUAUGCGGAGGAACACCGAUGGCGAAGGCAAUCCCCUGGGCCUGCACUGACGCUCAUGCACGAAAGCGUGGGGAGCAAACAGGAUUAGAUACCCUGGUAGUCCACGCCCUAAACGAUGUCAACUGGUUGUUGGGAAGGUUCCUUCUCAGUAACGUAGCUAACGCGUGAAGUUGACCGCCUGGGGAGUACGGCCGC